rnacentral:rRNA from 1 species
UGGCUCAGAACGAACGCUGGCGGCAGGCCUAACACAUGCAAGUCGAGCGGUAGAGAGAAGCUUGCUUCUCUUGAGAGCGGCGGACGGGUGAGUAAUGCCUAGGAAUCUGCCUGGUAGUGGGGGAUAACGUUCGGAAACGGACGCUAAUACCGCAUACGUCCUACGGGAGAAAGCAGGGGACCUUCGGGCCUUGCGCUAUCAGAUGAGCCUAGGUCGGAUUAGCUAGUUGGUGAGGUAAUGGCUCACCAAGGCGACGAUCCGUAACUGGUCUGAGAGGAUGAUCAGUCACACUGGAACUGAGACACGGUCCAGACUCCUACGGGAGGCAGCAGUGGG